rnacentral:tRNA from 1 species
GCCGAUGUGGCGGAACGGUAGACGCGUGCGAUUCAAAAUCGUAUUCCCUCGGGAGUGUGGGUUCGAGUCCCACCAUCGGUA